UACACAGCAGAUACUGAAGCUGUAAACAGUAAAUUCAUACUUACGAUGUUAGAAAAAUAAGAUUCUGAUUAUGAAACAAAAGGUUGUUUUCAGUUGAAGAAGUAAAUAAUAGUAAGAAUAAGGAAUUUUGCAAAAGCCAAGGCUUCAAGACUUAAAAAGGAUUCAAAAGACACCAAAGGUUCACUUUUGGCUAAAAGCUAAAUGUGAACCUUUCAAAAUGAACUCAUUGCUGUCUUCCUCUCAAAAGGCCUUCAGAUGGUCAGAUAAAGUACCUGAUGCUGAAAAACAGGAAAUUGAAUCAUGUCUCCAAAAUGUGCCUUUUGUCAUGCACUGUUACAGCUAUAUUUCUUGUAACUACAUUCAGCCUCCAGCCAAGAUAAAGAAUUAUGUGAUACAUACUUCAUCUUCCAUCACUGCUUUCAAAAGAUGUGAAUUCUGCAAACCAGACAGAAGAGGGAGCUAUCCAUCUGGAAAUUAACCAAUCCUUUCAAAAACAUGUCAAAUAAAUAUAGAAGAAAAUUCUAAUAUAAUCAAGUCUUAUUUAGUCUUGUAUUUUAUAAAAAUACUAUAAUUUUUCUGGUGCAUUAAAAAUGACAAAGAAAACGACCAGUAAAGGCAAAAACAUUGAGUUAAUUAAUGAAAAGGCAAAAUAUACAAACGAUUAAAAGGCCAAUUAAAAAUACACUCACAUUUUACGGUUUGAUCUCACAUUUUAUAGCAAAAUGUAAAACCAGAACACACCUCCAAAAAGGGCAAAAUAAUACUCUGCUGCUAUACGUAUUACUAAUAUCACCUUCCUAUAGAUCCUGUUCUUAAAAUGGAAUGCUGACUUUAAAAUUGAUAACAUCUGGAAAUAAUGGCAAAAAGGAAAAACUGUUGGGCUGCAUCUGUCUUGAAAAUGCUAUGUAAUAAGAUUUACUUAAUAUAUUUGAAAAAGGAAAAAUGUUUUGUUCCCCAAUUUGUUGCAACAUCUGAAAGUUCACGAGGUUAUGACCCCUCUUUAAGAAAGCAUCUCCCACCACCUGCAAAUACCCCAGGAAAAGCAGUUGGAAACAAUAAAACACGUGCUAGUUAACUGUUACCAGGGAAACGGUUCUGGUUCACCAAUCAGAGCGCCUGUGCUUCCCAGUGGCUUUGUCCGGGGGAGACAUGCGCCAGCUGUUAGUGAAUAACCAUUGUUAUAGAUCAUCAGGAAAUCACAGUCAGCAGGCAACCCAGCCCCACUGGAAGUUUAUUUCUCAUAUUUGUUCAUCACCAGGGCAAUUCUCCACCUUUAAAACAUCCUCUUAGGCUGGGUUAACUAAAUAACACCCUACACGGGUAAGGUCAUUUAAAAAAGGCAAGUUGCAAAAUGGUCUUUUUGCCAGCAAACAGAUUUCUAACUUUGAUUCCAAAUGCAUCACCCUCCUGUCCCCUUCACUUUCCAGUGGCAAUUUUAAGACUGAUAUCUAAAGUCUGUGCUCCUUUGAGUGCUGUUCCUCCUUCACCUAACUGGCACUCCAGGUACCAAGAGCUUUCACACCAUACCCUCCAAGACCUGUCAGAGAUCAUUUGGCAGUUCCCAUGCUGGAAAGACCAGUGUGAUUUGCAAACGGGGAGUUCUGAAGAGGCUGGCCUGUCAUGAGGAAAGGGGCUGAGAGGACAAAACCCUGGUUCCCUCCCUCGCUAACACACACAAUUCAACCAGAAUAGCCCCACUUUAUCAAUUUUAUUAUUUUUAUAAAUUUAUAAAUUCAUAUAUUUUUUGAAAAAAGAUGGCGUUACUUUUUAAAGUUUAAAAACCAGCUCUCAACCUAUCCAAUCAUCAGACUCAUCUUAAAAAGUAAAGUCAUCAAGAGUUUUAGUUUCAGGUCCAGCAUGUUAGGCUGUUAAGAAGUCACCACUCUAACAACAAGUAAAAAAGCCAAACAAACUGAAAAAUCAGCAACUCUUCUUAGAUCUGUCAGAGAAGUGAGGUCACAGGACAAAUCACUGUCCCCCAAAUUGGAGAGACAGACAGACAAAUAGAAUCACAACUUACUAGAGCAGAAGUCUAUGAGCAGUCUCUUUCUCAGGAGUCAGUGCCAGGGUUAGAAAACCAGAACUGCAAUUGCUAGAAGAUCAGUGUGGACAAGUUUAAGAAUUAAAACUCAGGAGGACCCAGACAUGUGGUCUAACACACGUUACCAAUAGAGAAGCAAAAAUAAGAAUUACACCUGACUGGUCCUCAGAACAUGCAAGCAAGAAGAGAGUGGUGUAAAAUAUUUAAACUAUUGAGAUAGAAACUACCAGCCUAGAACUCUAUACACUGUGAAAUUAUCCUUCAAAAGUAAAGAAGAAAUAAAGACUUUCUCAGGCAAAAAUUGAAAGUAUUUGUUGGCCAGUAGUCCUGCCUUGCAAGAAAUUCUUCAAAGAAGUUCUUCAGAGCAAAAGAAAAUUAUAUAGGUUAGAAACUCAGAUCUACGUAACGAAAUGAGCAAUGGAGAAUCAAUCAGUGAAAGUGAAAUAAAACUUUUAUUUUUCUUAUUCUUAAAUGAUUUAACACAAAACUGUUCAAAAUAACAGCAAUGAUAUAUUCAAUUAUGUAUACUUAUAUGUUUUAGAUAUAUGUGCACACACAUAAACAUACAUAUGUAUGCUAAUGUAUGCUUAUAUGUAAGUGAAUGAAUAAUGGCAAUGAUACAAAAGGGAGAACAGAAGAGUUAGGAAUAUUUUGUUAUUAUAAUGUACUUGCACUGCUCAUAAAGCAGUAUAUUGUUAAUUGGACUUGAAUUCAUUAUAAAUGUCUAUUGCAAACUUUGGGGGAAAACUACUAAAUUUUUUUUAAUGUGACUUAUGUCCUAAGAAAGAAGAGAAAAUGAAAUCAUAUAAAAUGGUCAAUUAAAACUACAAAAGCAGAACAGGUGUAGAAGACAAAAUAGGAAUGAAGAGCAAGAAGAACAAAUAGAAAACAAUAACAAAUAUGUUACAUAUUAAUCCAGCUAUAAUAAUAAUCACUUUAACCUUCAAUGGUCUAUAUAUGCCUAUUAACUGACAGAGAUUGUCAGACUGGAUUAAAAAACAAGACCCAACUACAUGUUGUAUACAAGAAGCCCACUUUAAAUAUAAAGACACAUAAAGAUUAAAAGUAAGCCAGGCGCGGUGGCUCACACCUGUAAUCCCAGCACUUUGGGAGGCUGAGGUGGGUGGAUCGCCUGAGGUCAGGAGUUUGAGACCAGCCUGGCCAACGUGGUGAAACCCCAUCUCUACUAAAAAUACAAAAAAAUUAGCUGGGCAUGGUGGUGGGCACCUGUAAUCCCAGCUACUCGGGAGGCUAAGGCAGGAGAAUUGCUUGAACGAGGGAAGUGGAGGUUGCAGUGAGCCGAGAUCACGCCAUUGCACUCCAGCCUGGGCAACAAGAGCAAAACUCCAUCUCAAAAAAAAAAAAGUUUAAAAGUAAGGGUAUGAAGAAAAAAAUACCAUGUAAUAUUAAUCGAAAGAAAGCAGAAAAUCUGUUUUUAAAAAAGCAGGAGUAGCUAUAUUAAUUUCAGAGAGAGCCAACUUCAGAACAAGGAAAGUUAGGAGGGAUAAAGAGAGCUAUUCCAUAAUGAUGGAGGGGUCAGUCCUCUAAAACAACAUAACAAUUUUUAACGUGUAUGCACCCAACAGAGCACCAAACUAUGUGAAGCAAAAACUGAUAGAAAGGCAAGGAGGAACAGAUAAAUCCACUAUUAUAAUUGGAGACUUUACCACUAUCAGAAAUGGACAGAUCCACUAGGCAGAAAAUCAGUAAAGACAUAGUUGAACUCAACAACACCAUCAAUCAUUGGGAUAUAAUUGACAUCCAUAGAUUAUUUCAUCCAACAACUUAUUACACAUCCAUCUCAACCUCACAUGGAGCAUUUGCCAGGAUAGAAUACUUUCUGGGCCAUAAAACACAUCUUAAAAUAUUUAAAAGGAUAGAAAUCAUACAAUGUAUGCUGUUAGAACGUAAUGGAAUUAAAGUAAAUAUCAAUAACAGAAUGACAACUGGAAAAGCUCAAAAAACUUAGAGACUAACAAACUUUUAAAUAACAUAUGGGUCGAAGAAUAAAUCUCAAGAGAAAUUGAAAAUAUACAGUUUAUCAAAAUUUGUGGAAUGCAAUGAAAGCAACAUUUAGAGGGAAGCUUAUAGCAUUGAAUGCAUAUAUUAUGAAAGAAGAAAGAUCUGAAAUAAAUAACCUAAGCUUCCACUUUAGGGAACUAGGAAAAAAAAUUAAAUCCAAGGAAAGCAGAAAAAAAUAAAAAUUAAAGCAGAAAUUAAUGAAAUUGAAAACAGGAAAUCAAUAGAAACAUCCAACAAAACCAAAUGCUGGUUCUCUGAAAAGAUAAUAAAAGUGAUAAAUCUCUAGCCAGGUUAAAUAAGAAAAAAAGAUAAGACUAAUAUCUCAAUGAUAAGCACUAAUAUCAGAAAUGAAGUAGAGGACAUCAUACAUAUACCACGGGCAUUAAAAGGAUAAUAAAGGAAUAUUACGGACAACUCUAUGCCCACAGAUUUGAUAAUCUGGAUUAAAUGGACCAAUUCCUAGACACAGCUUGCCAAAAGUCACACAAACAGAAAUGGACAAUGUGAAUGGCCUAUAUCUAUUAGUUAAAUUAGAUCAAUAAUUAAUAACCUUCCAACACAGAAAGCACAAGCCCCAGAUAAGCUUGCCCAUGAAUUCUACCAAACAUUUAAAGAACAAAUUAUAUUAGUUUUCUACAGUCUCUUUUAGAAAAUAAAAACAGAGGGAAUACUUCCUCACUCAUUCCAUGAGGCCAGCAUUACCCUAAUACCAAAGUCAGACAAAGGCUUUACAAAAAAAGACUUCAGACCAAUGCCUCUCAUGAAAAAGGAUGCAGAAAUCCUCUACAAAAUAUUAGCAAGUCAAAUUCAACAAUGUAUAAAAAGAAUUAUACACCAUGACUAAAUGUGAUUUAUCCCAGGUAUGCGAGGAUGGUUCAACAUUUGAAAAUUAAUUAAUGUAAUCUAGCGUAUCAGAAAACUAAAGAAGAAAAAUCACAUUAUCAUAUCAAUGGAUGCAGAAAAAGUAUUUGACAAAAGCAAUGCCUAUUUAUGGUAAAAAAAAAAAAAAGAAUCUCAGCAAACUAGGAAUAGAAAGGAACUUCCUCAACUUAUAAAGAAUAUCUACCAAAAAAACUACAGCAAACAUCAUACUUAAUGGUGAGAAACUCAAAGCUUUCCCACUAAGAUCAAGAAUAAGACAAGAAUGUCUCUUCUCUCCACUGAUUUUUCACACCAUACUGGCAGUUACAGCUAAUGCAAUAGAACAAGAAAAGAAAAUAGAAAAUAUACAGAUUGGGAAAGAAGAAAUAAAACUGUCUUUGUUUGCAAAUGACAUGACCAUAUAUAUAGAAAGCCCAAAAUAAUCAACAAAAAAACUCCGGGAAAUAAGCAAUUAUAGCACGGUUGCAAGAUAUAAGGUUAAUAUAUAAAAGUCAAUCACUUUCCUAUAUACCAGCAAUGAACAAUGAAAUUUGAAAUUAACAACACAUUGCCAUUUAUAUUAACACCCCAAAAAUGAAAUACUUAACUAUAAAUCUAACAAAAGAUGUACAAGAUCUAUAUGAAAAACUACAAAACCCUGAUGAAAGAUAUGGAGGAAGAACUAAAUAAAUAGAGAGAUAGCCCAUGUUCCUGAGUAAGAAAACUAUAUUGUCAAGAUGUCAGUUCUUCUUAAUUUGAACUAUAGAUUCAAAGAAGUCCCAAUCAAAAUCCCAGAAAGUGAUUUUGUGUAUAUUGACAAACCAAUUCUAAUGUUUAUGUGUAGAGGUAAAAGAUCCAGAAUACCAACUCAUUAUUCAAGGAGAAUAAAAUUGGAGGACUGACACAACCUGACUUCAAGACUUACUGUAUCACUACGGCAGUCAAGCCAGUGUAGUACUGAUGAAAGAAUAGGUGAAUAGAUUAAUGGAACAUAAUAGAAGGCCUAGAUAUAGACCCACACAAGCAUGGUUAGCUGAUCUUUGACAAAGGAGCAAAGGCAAUACAAUGGAGCAAAGAGUCUUUUCAAGAAAUAGUGCUGGAGCAACUGGACAUCCACAUGCAAAAAAUAAUAAUAAUAAUCUCGACACAAAUCUUAUAUCCUUCACAAAAGUUACUCAUAGUGGUUCAUAGGCCUAAAUACAAAAUGCAAAACUAUAAAACUCCUGGAAGAUAACACAAGAGAAAACUUAGAUGACCUUCGGCAUGACAUUGACUUUUUAGAUAUAACCCCAAAGGCACGACCUAUGAAAGAAAUAAUUGAUAAGGUGGGCUUCAUUAAAAUGUAAAACUUCUGCUCUGCAAAAGAUUAUGUUAAGAGAUAGUGAGUAGAUAAGCCACAGACUGGGAGAAAAUAUUUGCAAAAAAAAAUCUGAUAAAGAAUUGUUAUCUAAAAUACACAAAGAACACUUAAAACUGAACAAUAAUAAAAUGAACCCAAUCUAAAAAUGGGCAAUAUACCUGAAUAGACAUAUCACCAAAGAAGAUAUAAUAAGUAGCAUAUGAAAGAUUUUUGAUAUUGUAUGUCAUUAGGGAACUGAAAAUUAAAAUGAGGUACCACUAAACACCUAAGAGAGUGGCUAAAAUCCAGAACACUGACAGCACCAAAUGCUGAUGAGGAUGUGGAACAACAGGAACUCUCAGUCAUUGCUGAAGGGAAUGUAAAAUGGUACAGCCACUUUGGAAGACCGUUCAUCAGUUUCUUUAAAAACUAAACAUACUUUUACCUUACAAUCCAGCAAUCACGCUCCUAGGUAUUUACCCAAAGGAGCUGAAAACUUACGUCCUCACAAAAACCUGCACAUGGAUGUUUACAGCAGCUUAAUUCAUAAUUGCCAACACUUGGAAGAAACCAAAAUGUCUUUCAGUAGGUGAAUGGAUAAAUAAACUGUGAUACAUCCAGACAAAGGAAUAUUAUUCAGCACUAAAAAGAAAUGAGCCAGCAAGCCAUGAAAAGACAUGGAGGAAAUGUAAAUGUAUAUUACCAAGUUAAGAAGUCAAUCUGGAAAGGCUAAAUGCUGUAUGAUUCCAACAAUAUGAUAUUCAGGAGAAGGCAAAAACUAUGGAAACAGUAAAAACCUCAGUGGGUGGCAUGAGUUAGAGGGGAGGAAGAGAUGAAUAGGCAGAGGAUUUUUAGGGCACUGAAGCUAUUCUGCAUGAUACUGCAGUGGUAGAUACAUAUCAUUAUACAUUUGUCAAAACACAGAGAACACCAGGAAUGAACUCUAAUGUAAACUGGAUUUGAGGGUGGUAAUGAUGUGUCAAUGUAGGUUCAUCUAUCAUAACAAACGUUAUCACUAUGGUGGGGGAUGUCGUUAGCAGGGGAGAUUGUACAUGGAUGGGGAUAGGGUAUAUAGGAACUCUCUAUACUUUCCACUCAAUUUUGCGUGAAUCUAAAACUGCCCUAAAAAAUAAAGUUUACUAAUUUUUUUCUUAAAAAAGAGACUUCUCCAGUCCACAUCUUGUAAGUUCAGGUUCAGGAGGUAGGUCUUGGUUGGGGCUUGGAAAUCUGUCUUCUCCAUAAAUCCAAAAUGUUUCUGAUAUACAGCCAGCGUUGAGAAUCACUGGGUAGAUCUUGACCUCUGAUCUUUUAAGAUGUAACUGUACUGUUCAAUUUUUUUUUCAGGUCUUUACUGUCUGCUAGAAAUAAUCUUAUAAAUUCAUCUGUACUAAUGUUGGUGGCAGAUAAUGCUUAGAUAUUAAAAAUUUGCAUUUAUAGAAGGGUCUUUUUCUACCUAAGUACUUAAACUAACAAGAGCCCCAUAUUAUAGGCUGGCAGCCUCUAAACAGCCUACUCAUAGAGGCAACUAAAAUGAGGAUUCUGUCUCAAAGCUCUGUUCCAUCCAUGCCUUCCCAUGGAGCAAAGGAACAAACAAGAUAUCAACAAUUGGAGAAAUGGCAACUAUAAUUCCAUCAUUCACAACUUCAGUUUUCCUUCAAGAGAACAAGUGACACUGUUAAUCAGGCCCUGCAAGCACAAAUAAACAAAAAUAAUAAUUUGAGAAAAGAAAAUGAAUGAUGGCCUAAGAAGUCUAGUGUUUCUUCCACAACCAAGGUAUAGUAGUCUCAUCCUUUGGAGCUUUAGAUGAACAGACUGAGGAUCAUAGAGUUUCUAACACAGCCCCUUCUUUCUAUGCAACCCAGAAUGAUGUAGUUCUCUAUUUUUAAAAGCAGCAAAAAGGAUGGAAGUGUUCUCCCUUGAAGCCCAGAUGUUUUCUAUCUUUCUAAGCUGCAAUUAUUUCAACACAUUAUUUUAGCUACACUUACAUCAGAUCAGAGCCACCUGUUAUAUCCUCUGCACACUUAUGAGAGAUUUACUGUUAAGUUUCUAUUUAUGGUUUAUUUAGGAAAGUCAGAAUGCAAUUGAGAGGACGCUUUUAAAGUCAUCUUGAGGUCCAAGGAUGUGUGUAUAGCAGAUUAACAGAUAAUCAAGACACUGUGUUGUGUAGUGUAAACAUAAUCAACCCUAAUUUUGUGAUUCAUUAUUACAUAAAUUUGGACGUAACCCGGACUAAAAAACUCAUCAUCUGAAAUUCAACUACAUGCCUGAAAAACAUAAUAUAACAUUGUUAUACUUUAAGGAAGUUAUUAAUCUACUCCUAAACCAAGUAUUACAAAAAAUUGUAUUAUAAUGCAUUUUAUUGUAGGAGGAUUCUUUAUUACCAAG
rnacentral:lncRNA from 1 species